rnacentral:rRNA from 1 species
AUUGAACGCUGGCGGCAGGCCUAACACAUGCAAGUCGAGCGGAUGAAGAGAGCUUGCUCUCUGAUUCAGCGGCGGACGGGUGAGUAAUGCCUAGGAAUCUGCCUGGUAGUGGGGGACAACGUUUCGAAAGGAACGCUAAUACCGCAUACGUCCUACGGGAGAAAGCAGGGGACCUUCGGGCCUUGCGCUAUCAGAUGAGCCUAGGUCGGAUUAGCUAGUUGGUGAGGUAAUGGCUCACCAAGGCGACGAUCCGUAACUGGUCUGAGAGGAUGAUCAGUCACACUGGAACUGAGACACGGUCCAGACUCCUACGGGAGGCAGCAGUGGGGAAUAUUGGACAAUGGGCGAAAGCCUGAUCCAGCCAUGCCGCGUGUGUGAAGAAGGUCUUCGGAUUGUAAAGCACUUUAAGUUGGGAGGAAGGGUAGUAACCUAAUACGUUGCGUACUUUGACGUUACCGACAGAAUAAGACACCGGCUAACUUCGUGCCAG